rnacentral:tRNA from 1 species
GGGUUGCUAACUCAACGGUAGAGUACUCGGCUUUUAAACCUAUUUCAAUUUAACAAGGAAAUUUUCUACUCCAU